GACGAACGCUGGCGGCGUGCUUAACACAUGCAAGUCGAACGAAGUGGCGAACGGGUGAGUAACGCGUAAUCAACCUGCCCUUCGGAGGGGGACACCAGUUGGAAACGACUGCUAAUACCGCAUACUGAAGGAGGGGUUUGCGUCUGAUUAGCUAGCUGGAGGGGUAACGGCCCACCAAGGCGAUGAUCAGUCGCCGGUCUGGGAGGAUGGACGGCCACAUUGGGACUGGGAAACGGGCCAGACUCCUACGGGAGGCAGCAGGGGGGAAUCUUCCGCAAUGGGCGAAAGUCUGACGGAGCAACGCCGGGUGGGUGAUGACGGCCUUCGGGUUGGAAAGCUCUGUUAAUCGGGACGCGGUACCGGAAUAGAAAGCCACGGCUAACUACGUGCCAGCAGCCGCGGUAAUAC
rnacentral:rRNA from 1 species